rnacentral:rRNA from 1 species
GAGUUUGAUCAUGGCUCAGGAUGAACGCUAGCGGCAGGCUUAACACAUGCAAGUCGAGGGGUAUUCUAGCAAUAGGAGAGACCGGCGCACGGGUGCGUAACGCGUAUGCAAUCUACCUUUCACAGAGGGAUAGCCCAGAGAAAUUUGGAUUAAUACCUCAUAGUAUUAUGGAAUGGCAUCAUUUUAUAAUUAAAGUCACAACGGUGAAAGAUGAGCAUGCGUCCCAUUAGCUAGUUGGUAAGGUAACGGCUUACCAAGGCGACGAUGGGUAGGGGUCCUGAGAGGGAGAUCCCCCACACUGGUACUGAGACACGGACCAGACUCCUACGGGAGGCAGCAGUGAGGAAUAUUGGACAAUGGGCGCAAGCCUGAUCCAGCCAUGCCGCGUGCAGGAUGACGGUCCUAUGGAUUGUAAACUGCUUUUGCACAGGAAGAAACACCCCCUCGUGAGGGGGCUUGACAGUACUGUGAGAAUAAGGAUCGGCUAACUCCGUGCCAGCAGCCGCGGUAAUACGGAGGAUCCAAGCGUUAUCCGGAAUCAUUGGGUUUAAAGGGUCCGUAGGCGGUUUAGUAAGUCAGUGGUGAAAGCCCAUCGCUCAACGGUGGAACGGCCAUUGAUACUGCUAGACUUGAUUAUUAGGAAGUACUAGA